rnacentral:rRNA from 4 species
CCCCGGUAAACGGCGGCCGUAACUAUAACGGUCCUAAGGUAGCGAAAUUCCUUGUCGGGUAAGUUCCGACCUGCACGAAUGGCGUAAUGAUGGCCAGGCUGUCUCCACCCGAGACUCAGUGAAAUUGAACUCGCUGUGAAGAUGCAGUGUACCCGCGGCAAGACGGAAAGACCCCGUGAACCUUUACUAUAGCUUGACACUGAACAUUGAGCCUUGAUGUGUAGGAUAGGUGGGAGGCUUUGAAGUGUGGACGCCAGUCUGCAUGGAGCCGACCUUGAAAUACCACCCUUUAAUGUUUGAUGUUCUAACGUGGACCCGUAAUCCGGGUUGCGGACAGUGUCUGGUGGGUAGUUUGACUGGGGCGGUCUCCUCCUAAAGAGUAACGGAGGAGCACGAAGGUUGGCUAAUCCUGGUCGGACAUCAGGAGGUUAGUGCAAUGGCAUAAGCCAGCUUGACUGCGAGCGUGACGGCGCGAGCAGGUGCGAAAGCAGGUCAUAGUGAUCCGGUGGUUCUGAAUGGAAGGGCCAUCGCUCAACGGAUAAAAGGUACUCCGGGGAUAACAGGCUGAUACCGCCCAAGAGUUCAUAUCGACGGCGGUGUUUGGCACCUCGAUGUCGGCUCAUCACAUCCUGGGGCUGAAGUAGGUCCCAAGGGUAUGGCUGUUCGCCAUUUAAAGUGGUACGCGAGCUGGGUUUAGAACGUCGUGAGACAGUUCGGUCCCUAUCUGCCGUGGGCGCUGGAGAACUGAGGGGGGCUGCUCCUAGUACGAGAGGACCGGAGUGGACGCAUCACUGGUGUUCGGGUUGUCAUGCCAAUGGCACUGCCCGGUAGCUAAAUGCGGAAGAGAUAAGUGCUGAAAGCAUCUAAGCACGAAACUUGCCCCGAGAUGAGUUCUCCCUGAGACUUAGAGUCUCCUGAAGGAACGUUGAAGACGACGACGUUGAUAGGCCGGGUGUGUAAGCGCAGCGAUGCGUUGA